rnacentral:rRNA from 1 species
UACGUAGGUGGCAAGCGUUGUCCGGAUUUAUUGGGUUUAAAGGGUGCGUAGGCGGCCCUGUAAGUCAGUGCUGAAAUACCCCGGCUUAACCGGGGGGGUGGCAUUGAUACUGCAGGGCUUGAGUACAGAUGAGGUAGGCGGAAUUGACGGUGUAGCGGUGAAAUGCAUAGAUAUCGUCAAGAACACCGAUAGCGAAGGCAGCUUACUGGGCUGUAACUGACGCUGAUGCACGAAAGUGUGGGGAGUCAAACAGG